rnacentral:rRNA from 1 species
AGAAUAGACUACCCAGGUAGUCCACGCCGUAAACGAUGAAUGCUAGGUGUUAGGGGUUUCGAUACCCUUGGUGCCGAAGUUAACACAUUAAGCAUUCCGCCUGGGGGAGUACGGUCGCAAGACUGAAACUCAAAGGAAUUGACGGGGGACCCGCACAAGCAGUGGAGUAUAUGGUUUAAUUCGAAGCAACGCGAAGAACCUUACCAGGUCUUGACAUCCCUCUGAAUCCUCUAGAGAUAGAGGCGGCCUUCGGGACAGAGGAGACAGGUGGUGCAUGGUUGUCGUCAGCUCGUGUCGUGAGAUGUUGGGUUAAGUCCCGCAACGAGCGCAACCCUUGAUUUUAGUUGCCAGCACAUUAAGGUGGGCACUCUAGAAUGACUGCCGGUGACAAACCGGAGGAAGGCGGGGAUGACGUCAAAUCAUCAUGCCCCUUAUGACCUGGGCUACACACGUACUACAAUGGCCAGUACAACGGGAAGCGAAGUCGCGAGACGGAGCCAAUCCUAUCAAAGCUGGUCUCAGUUCGGAUUGCAGG